GGUGAGAUACCACUGAGAGUUCAGGAGGACGCUUUCUUUCCUAUGUUCAACAAGGGAUUGGGUAGCAACUAGGCAGAAGCCUUCUUUUGGAUCUGUUUGCCAAAGCCCCAAUACCCAUUAGAAUUUUCUGGGGUUGGGCUGCUGAAGAGCAAGAGCUGGGGAGGCUGGAUUUGGGAGGCCUGGUUUCUCGUGCCACUUUUUAGCUUGCGGACACUGGGCACACUAUUUCUACCCCUUCGGUUUCAUUAUUUGGGAGAUGGCAGCAAUACUGUGUGUGUGUGUGUUUCAUGCGGCUGUUAUGACGAUGAGCUGGGCUUGAGUGCGAAAAGCCCUUUACAAACCAUUUAACCCUCUCCAGAUGUUAGUUAUUAUCAUCUUUCUAAAGAAUAGGAGACUGCAGAAAAGACUCCUUGACACUUUUAGUCAAAACUUGACCCUAAGCUCAUUCUCGCUGCAAAGCGAAAGGGUUGCGGUGCCCCACACCAGGCCGGGGCAGGGUCACCCACGCUGCCGGUGUACGGUCACUGCAGUAUUCAUUCCGAGAGGCUGCUGGCCCUGGGUCCUCCCAUUGGUCUCCCGCGGAGGGCCCGCGCAGUUCCUCUCAUCAGGGUGGUGCCAGCAAGAGGGCGUGGGCAGGGCGGGGCCGAGAAACUCGGGAUGGGGCGUGGCCUCCCGGGGAAGGGCGGGGCCUCGCCUCCCGGGCGUUCCGGGGGCCGCCGGCGCGCGGGGCUAGCCAGCCAGCGAACGGACGAGCGCGCGGCCCCUGCGCACUCGGCCGCCGCCCGCGCGCGUCGCUGGCACAGCUGCGUUCUCGCCUCCGCGGCUGGGCGCCGGGUCCCGCGCGAGCCGUCGCUGAGCGCCCUGCGCUCCCCGCACCUGCGCCCCUUCCUCACCGCAACAGGUCAGGGGAGGGUGGAGGCGGCGAGGGCGCGCGAGCAGAGACUGGAGGACUCCAGGUCUGGAAGAACUGACAGCGAUGAUGUGGUUGGAGAUAUGCAACUUGGAGGUGUGUUGCUGUGGACCCUUUGCAGGAAGAAAAGGAAGUGUUACAUAUCAGAAUUAAUAUGUCUUAUUCAUUCACUGUGGCAAUUGAAUUUCUGUAGUGUCUUUGGCAUUUGCUUAACUCUUCAACCUCUUUAAAAAUGCUCUUAACUCUUCAACCUCUUAAAAAUAUUUUCAAGACUUACAUUGUGUUAAUUUUCAAUACAGAAAUCAUCAAGGGGCAGAAAAUUUAUGACAAGAGUAAAGAUCAGGUUAUUUUCAACAUUGCUUUCUCUUACAAGAUGUAAAAUAUGCAUGCAUUUCCACCAGAAGUCACUGUUUCAUUGUGAGUUUAUGAGACCUUUAGUAAUUAGACUGUGUCAAAACUGGCUUUCUCUUCUGUUUCCUAUUUGUUUAACUGAAUUUUACAAAGAGUUAGUGGAGCUAGAAGUUAUUUUUAUUGACUAAAAUACUUACUUAAUUUGUCUUUGAUUACAUGGAAGAGUUGUCUAAGAUACAUAUAUAUAUAUAUGAGUUGCAUCUUUAUUAGGAACAUUUAUAAGUCACUGGAGCCAUGUGAUUGGUGGAAGUUAUAGUGCUUUGGGGGUUGAAAAGAUGGAUUAAAAAAAAAGUGGAAAAGGCAAACUUGUUCUCCAUAUUUUUGAAGAUGCAAACAAAAGGCGUUUCAUGCUCAACUCUGUAAUCUGUGCUUUCAUUGAUCAAAUUUGCAUAAUGCAAGUAAGUUGACUUUAUGAAGUUAGUCCAUUAUUAAAAUUCCAAAUUUUAAGAUAGAUUUGCGCUGUCACUUGUGAAAAGGGUAGAACUAAUUUAUAUAUAAAUAUCUGGAUUGUUAUAAGCAUACACAGGGGACAGUAUACCCUGCAGAUGUCCCUUAAGGUAUGGCAUCAUAGCUAGAAAAUUCUUACUAUUGAAUCUCUACCCUGAAAAAUGUCCUUGAAUUCAUUUGCCUAUCUUAGUAUUUCUGUUGAAGGUAAAAGCCCAGAGUUCCCCUAUUUUAAGACUAGACCGUUAACAAAAUUUUCAGGAGAUUGAGAAAGUAUGUUAGAGAGUUCAAAUUAAGGAACUGCAUUUACCAUACUCAUAGAAAGUUUUGUAAAUAAGUUAUAUUUUUCAUUAAAUUAUAAAGUCAACAAUGACUCCCAUUCUCAAUGAUAUUUAAUUGACCGUGGCUUUCCAGCAGUCUCUUUUUAGACACAGCAGUAGCUUAUUUAAUAUUUGCUGAAUUAAUAUUAGAUUUUAUUACAAGAGAUUACAUAAACCCUGUCAUCUGUUUACUAAAAUUCUACCACCAUGCAGAAGUAAAUGUGAAAUAUUUAGUUCUUUGUAGGUGCACAUCUUUAUUCCUGGCUGUUCAUAAGAGCAUAAGAGAUUGUUGUAGAUGGGGAACCGUGAGGCUGUCAGGCCUUGAGGGUUGCUAAUAGGCGUUUCUGUCUUAUGCCUUAGGACAGAACUGUUUCAGUAGUGUUCUCCAGGGGAAGAAAAUCAGCUGAUUUUCUUAAAUUAUCUGGCCCAUUUAAAACAUGACUAAGGAUUUCUUGCUCAAGCAAGUUUUUCCUAUUAAAUGACUGAGAUUAUUGUGACAAGUGGAGUCCAGAGAAAUCAAUUACAUCAUUAAUGUAAUACCUCAUGUUCAUUCCCGAUACCUUAUAAGAAUCCAGUAUCUUCUAAGUGCCAGACAGUGCUCUCAGCUUUGGAGGAACUGAUAACAUCAGGUUAAGGCAGAGAAAGAGCCCACGCAGGUGGAGUUUACAUCCACAAACAACGUAGCACAACAGCUGUUUACCAAUGGCGUUCACAUGACAUAUCAUUUAAGCUUAAUUGCAACUCUGAAGCUGGAGUUCAUUUUCCAUUUUAAAAUCAGGAAAUUGAGUUGAAGAAGUUAAGUGACUUGACUCUGUGACUCAAAGCCUGGUGCCCUUUCUACUGUGGUACACUGUGUUGGCCAUGUUGAUAUGUGGUUUCCUGUUUUUCAAGAAUUAGAGCUUGACUCUCAAAUAUAAAUAGUGUUUCUCCUUGGCUAAGUAAUUCUUUCUAAUCAUUGUGGGAAUAAAAAAGCAGGUAUUUUAAUUUAGCAUUUGGGAUGUACAUGUGUGACUCCAAAGCAGAGUAUGUAGCCCUAUUAAACAGAUAUGCAGUGCUUAUUUGCACCAAAUAAAGACCCUUACCUUCCUAAAAAUUAAAUGCAAGGGCUUAGGAGCCAUCUCUGUUAGUGCUUCAAAUCUAUUAUUCAGGUUAUGAAAGGUCAAAUCAAAUCCCUAUGUAAAUCAGGAUAUACUCAUACCAUUUCCUUCUAUUUUAUGGAUAUGGUGAAUAUAUGCAGUAAAGUGGUGUUUUUCAAACUUACAGUAACCAUCAGAAUCUCCUGAAAAACCUUCAAGAUACACAUAUGUCUUUCCCUUUCCCACCCCCACAGUUUCUGAUUCAGUAGGUCUGGGGUAAUGCCCAAGAAUUUGCACUUGUAACAUGUUCACAGGUGAUAUUGAUGCUUCUAGUUCUGGAGUUACACUUUGAGGCAUACUGCAGUAUAGCAGAGAAUUUUAAAGCAUGGUUUCUAAGCCAGACAGCUUGGGCUUGAAUCUUAGAUAUGCCACCUACUCUAGCUGUCAGGCAGAUUACUUAACUUCUUGUCAAGAACUGUGAAGGCUCUGACAUUUUACCCCACUUUCAAGCUCAAAAACUAACCUGCCACAGUUUCAUGGACUCUUGAGAAUGGCUUUAUUACUUGUAAUAAUGGCUAUAGCCAGACUAUUACCAUUUUCUUACACUGGUUCCCUAAGACCUAGUUUCCAAAGAGGGGAGAUGUGGAAAGAGUCAGACGGUACCUGCAAACACAGAGGAUAACACUAAGAGAAAUCCACAUCUUCAGGGAAUCCUAAUCUUUUAUAAUGGGCAGUUAGCACACCUGCCCUUUGCUCCAUAGGGAGAUAUAUUUUUCAAGGCUGUUCUCUGUAUAAGCAUCCUUAAAGAUCAUCUGGAAUAAAGGCGGUUGGUGCCUCUGCUUAUACGAUAUGCAGAAAUGACCCAUGGAGAGUUGGCGUCUGACACUCUCCCAUUCCCUUAGACAAUGGGUUUAAGAUACUAUUGUAUCUCCCUUUCUGGGUAGUUGGGUUGAUUAAAGGUAAUGUGAUUUGGCAAGUACUUGAAGCAGAACAUAAUAAGUGCUGCAUAAGUAUUUCCUAUUAUUACUCCUGAAGGGGAAAAAAAAAUUUUUUUUAAUGGUAAGUAUUGCCUUAUAAGAUGAAAUAAUUGUUUUACUGAGUAUCCCUAACUUUAAGUUCAUUCUAAGACAUUUCUCUGAUGGGUCUAAAUUCUAAAAUAGGGAUGAUGCGUUGUACAAUAUUUUACCAUUCCAUGGGGAAUGAGGCAGAAACAUUUACCGCCCACAUUCACGUGCUCUCCACCUCCUUAGGGCACACUAAUCAUGUGACUAAUUCUGUCCAGGGGGCUGUUCGUGAGAGUAACAUGUUUUUCUGGACUGAAGCCUUUAAGUGGCUGUCUACCUCUCGUUUACUAUAGUAAACUCUGCAGCCACGUUUUGAGAUCGUGGAGUUUCCAACUUGGCUUUUUUCCAGCUUAGAUUUCUCGGUGUGGAGUGAAGCUCCCUGCCUCCUCCCUAACCCCUCCCCUCCUCCCCUCCACCAUAUGUAACGAACAUAAAGAAUGACCAGGAAAUACGUUUUUGUGCCAUCAAGCCACUGAGAUGUGGGGCUUAAUUUGCCACAGUAGCAUAACCUUAUUGCUGUUGUUUAGUCACUCACUCAGUCGUGUCUGACUCUGCAAACCCAAGAACUGAGCUCACCAGGCUCCUCUGUCUGUGGGAUUUCCCAGGCAAGAAUACUGGAAUAGGUUGCUGUUUCCUUCUCCAGGGGAUCUUCCUGACCCAGGAAUCGAACCAGAGUCCCCUACCACUGAGCCACCUGGGAAGCCCAGCAUAACCUAGACUACCCUUACUAUAUUCCAGCACCUAUAAUACCUGCCUAAUGUGAGAAAGUUGACAGUAAUUUUAAAAUACAGGCUCUGGGCAUGUAUAUGUAAAGCUGGAUACGGAGCUUACAUUCUAUUGAGGUAUGAACCAUCAACACUUACAUAUUUAUUUGCUUAUUUAGCAGAAGUUAAUUUCAGAUACAAGCUUCCCUGGUGGUUCAGAUGGUGAAGCGUCUGCCUGCAAUACGGGAGACCUGGGUUCGAUCCCUGGGUUGGGAAGAUCUCCUGGAAAAGGAAAUGGCAACCCACUCCAGUAUUCCUGCCUGGAGAAUCCCAGGGAUGGAGGAGCCUGGUAGGCUACAGUCCAUGGAGUCGCAAAGAGUCAGACACGACUGAGUGACUUGACUUCACUUCAAUUUCAGAUAGUGUAAGUACUGUGAAAAGAUAAGCAUGGCCAACACUGUUCUUUUCCUCCCCAGUGCUCAUUCCCAUUUUUUGUUGCUAAGAGAACCUUGAUUAUGCAUGCGAUUAAACUGGGCGCAGCCUUAGGUGACAGAUCAUGUUUGUUCUCAGCCAGUGAUAACAAUUUGUAUCUUGAUUUACCUGUUUCCUCUGAAGCUGGAGGAGGCCAUGUGACCUCGUUUUGGUUUUCAGGUAGUAAAGGUUUGGGGAAGGACUUUCCUGAUGUGGCUGAAAUAGCCACACCCUGCUUGGCAUGUUGAAAAGAUGUCUGGUUAUGACCAGCAACCUUUUUGUACAAAGAGAUGAUGUGCCUAAAGACAGCACGCUAAAUGUGGCCGAGCAGGAAGAGCCAGAGUUCCAAAUGGCCUCAUUGUAUGGCUAAAAUUAUACCACUAGCCACCUUCCUUUAGACUUGCUAUUGUUGCUGUUGUUCAAUCUCUAAGUUGUGUUUGACUGUGGAUUGCAGCACCCCAGGCUUCGCUGUCCUUCACUAUCUCCCGGACUUUGCUCAGA
rnacentral:lncRNA from 1 species